rnacentral:rRNA from 1 species
CCUACGGGAGGCAGCAGUGGGGAAUCUUGCGCAAUGGGGGAAACCCUGACGCAGCGACGCCGCGUGGGUGAUGAAGGCCUUCGGGUCGUAAAGCCCUGUCAGGUGGGAAGAAACCUACUGGCUCGAAUAGGGCUGGUAGCUGACGGUACCACCAGAGGAAGCACCGGCUAACUCCGUGCCAGCAGCCGCGGUAAUACGGAGGGUGCGAGCGUUGCUCGGAAUCACUGGGCGUAAAGCGCGUGUAGGCGGUCAGGCAAGUCAGAUGUGAAAGCCCCUGGCUUAACCAGGGAAGUGCAUUUGAAACUGCUGGGCUGGAGUACGGGAGAGGAGAGUGGAAUUCCCGGUGUAGAGGUGAAAUUCAUAGAUAUUGGGAAGAACACCGGUGGCGAAGGCGGCUCUCUGGAUCGAUACUGACGCUGAUACGCGAAAGCGUGGGGAGCAAACAGGAUUAGAUACCCCUGUAGU